rnacentral:rRNA from 1 species
AGCUCCAGUAGUGUAUAUUAAUGUUGUUGCAGUUAAAAAGCUCGUAGUCGGAAGGAAGGCAGCACGGAACCACUGUAGCGCGGUUGUCGGAAGAUGAAGAGCGGACAGUACUCUCGGGCUGCCAGUGACAUGAUGGAUAGAUCAUCCAUGUGAUUCAUUUCAUGUGGAGCAAAAGACGGAGCACGGGUGUGGUUUGUUGGAUGUACCAUCGAGUUGCCUUGAGUAAAGUAGAGCGUUCAAAGCAGUGCGUAGCACGUUGAAUAAUUUAGCAUGGGACAACGCAACAGGCCGGGCGGCGAGCGUGGCGCGGCGCGCCGCCGGGAAUGAUUGAUAGGGAUGACUGGGGACAUUCGUAUUGGGAGGCUAGAGGUGAAAUUCAGUGAUUCUUUCAAGACGAACA